rnacentral:lncRNA from 1 species
GCACCAGAGGUAUGAUAGGUCAAAAAUCAGGUGACACCAAAUCAAUCAUCAUCAAACUCACGAUCCUGGUAAUCCGAACACAACAGAAUCAGACCUACACAUCAAAGAGGCGACUCCUAGAAGAAGAAGCAUGACAAUAUCUAAAUAUCAACCAGAUCUCAAUCACCUGCCCAAGUAGAGGCUGCUGAAGACGACAUCUGAUCUCAUGGCCUCAGGGUGGUCUUAAGACACGGGACGUAACGUAGGCCAAGGUGAUAGGGUGAUAGAAAUGAAAGGAAACUAGGCUCAAAUACCCAAUGAUCAAAACUCGUGCCCUCAUAUAUGAAAUGCAACAUGUAUAGUGAACCUCAUGAGCCAUGGACCUGAGGAUGCCUAAUGUGAAUAUGAUAUCGAUAAGGAGACAAAUGAAACAGGAUGAAUUGAUAGUGAUAUGUGUAAUGAUGAUGCGAAAUGGGCAUCGAACCUAAGAUGGGUCGCUGUAAGGAAAGAAUAAGACGCGAAGGGAAUGAGAUGAAUCACAAGCAACGAUAAAAACGAUGGCGAUACAAUGAAUACGUGAAGAAAAGUGGUGAUCGACCUAGAUCAAACAUGAAGUGAAGUCACAUCAAUAAUGAACGUAAUGAUGGAAAGGACAAUGACUCGGAGUCCUUAGGAGAAGGUCACUCAUCCCUCUCACAAAUAGAUAUGACGAAGCAAUACAAACAACAUGGGAUCUCAGAGAGCUCACAUACGAACUCCCAAUAACGAACAUACUCGAUAAAAAUGACCCCCAGACAUCAAUAUACAUACUCAAUGAUCGAGAACACUAUGCACAUACACACAUGCGCUAAUAAUAAUAAUAAUGAUGAUGAUUUUUUAUUUAUUUAUUUAUUUAUUUUAUUUUUUUUACAUAUAUACAAAUACACAUACCCUAAACAUGAACGAAUGAACCCCAAAGAUGAUAUGAAUAACAAAUGGACACACUCCCAAGUGAUAAGAUAAUAAACAAACUCUCUCUAACGAGAUGACCUUCUCAAACCAAGGAUCUCUAAACCAGUGUCCGUGAGAUAGAUGAUGGGAAUGAUGUGACUAUCCUCCAUGUGAUGAACUGAGGAGGCUCACCACUCAGGGUGGAGCGAAUAUGAGACAAACAAAUAGUAGAUAGGAUAAGGAAGAAGAGAUGAACAACGUAACCAAUAAGAUGAGAUGAAAAUGCAGAGGUGUAGUGAUAGGAAAAGAUAAUGAGAAAAGCAUGCCCCUAGGUCCAAAGCUCAUGAAACUACCAAACAAUGCAUGCAUACAUUAAAGGGCCCCUAUCCCGGUGUGAAAAUGUGAGCAAGGCGAUAAGAAAGACAGGCUAUAAUACGCAUGUGAGGCUCAAUGGGCUAGCAACGGACUAUGUAUCACAAAGGAAUAACAAGGUAAUAGCUAACCGAAAUGACGGCCACCCAUCCUACGACCAUGGUCUCAAACAUAGUACCUCUUUAGCUGAUCCACAUUGGUUGGCUCUGAGAAUCGGUUUCCGUCUAAAUCCAUCAGCCAUGCAGCGCCCUCUGGGGUCAACUCCCUGAUGAAAUAAGGUCCGAUCCAGUUGGGUCUGAACUUCCCUCUAGGAUCUCUGAUCAAUCCCCUUAUGACUUUCAAAACUAAGUCACCUACAUGCAGUGGUCUAGGCUUGACCCGCUUUUUGAAAGCGCGGGCCAUCUUCCUCUGAUAUGCACGAACAUGGUCUGCUGCUCUCAAUCUCCUCUCAUCUAGGAGAUUGAGCUGAUCAAAUCGAACCUGAGCCCAAUCUGCCUCGGGAAUUUGCUGCUCUAGUGCUACUCUCAACGAACCCAUCUCAAUCUCAACGGGUAGCAUCGCCUCCAUGCCAUAUACCAAAGAGUAGGGUGCGGCACCUGUAGAGGUGCGAAAAGAAGUCCGAUAAGCCCACAAUGCAAAUGGGAGCUUCUCUGACCAAUCCCGAGAAGUCUCGACCAUUCUCCGUAAUAUCCUCUUGAUAUUCUUAUUCGCGGCCUCUACUGCCCCAUUCGUCUGCGGCCUGUACGCAGACGAUCUAUGAUGCCGGAUGCUGUAUCUCUGUACUAAGGUGUCAACCUCUGCUCUGAAAUGUACUCCUCUAUCUGAAAUCAACUCAUGAGGGACUCCAUAGCGACAUAUAAUGUGUGAUCUGAUGAAACUAGCAACUCCAGACGAUGUCAAUCUCGCAUACGAAGCGGCCUCCACCCACUUGGUGAAGUAAUCGAUGGCAACCAGGAUAAACUCAUGACCACUGGAAGAUUUCGGUGAAAUCUUCCCAAUGAUGUCGAUACCCCAUACUGAAAACGGCCAAGGUGAAGUCAGUGCGUGCAACUCUGAAGGUGGCACGUGAAUGAGGUCCCCAUGUAUCUGACACUCGGGACAUCUCUGAACAAACUGGCAGCAAUCCGUCUCCAUGGUCAACCAGAAGUAACCGGUCCUCAUGAUCUUAUGAGCCAACAUAUGUCCUCCCAUAUGUGGUCCGCAGACUCCCGCAUGAACCUCUCUCAUCACCCGAUCGGCAGAGGCGCGGUCCAAACACAAUAAUAGCAUCCCGUCAGGUGAUCGUCUGUACAGUGUCUCGCCGCAAAUCACAAAUCGAGUGGCCAACUGUCUCAAUGCUCUCUUAUCCUUGGCCGUGGCGGCCUCAGGAUAUACGCCGAGUCUCAAAAAGUGAUAUAUGUCGUGAUACCAUGGCAAACCAUCAUCUGGCUCUACAUCAUCGAUCAGGCAACAGUAAGCAGGAGCAGAUCUCGACUCGAUCAACAAAGGUCGAACAGUGGCAUCAACGGGAAUAUCGAUCAUGGAAGCUAGAGUAGCUAAAGCAUCAGCAAACUGGUUCUGCGCUCUAGGCAAAUGGGUAUAUCUCAAAUCAUCAAAUCUCCCAACCAGUAGCUCCAAAUAUGCAUGAUAAGGCUUAAGCUUCACAUCUCUAGUCUUCCACUCGCCCUGAAUCUGUCUCAAUACCAGAUUGGAGUCACCAAACACCUCCAUCUGUCUAAUCCCGAGCUCAAGGGCCGUCUCUAAUCCCAAAAUACAAGCCUCAUACUCAACAAUGUUGUUCGUGGCAGGAUGUCGAUCCGAGAAUGCCAAACGAGCAGAUCUGGGAAUGUGAUCACCAUGAGGGGAUAUCAACAAAACACCUAUCCCGUAUCCAGAAUGGUUAGCUGCACCAUCAAAGUACAUGCGCCAACCCGACAGACUAGUCACGGCAGCGACAUCCUCGUCUGGAAAAUCAUCGUCAAUAGCUCUGGCAUCAGAAACUGGUAAUGAGGCUAGAUGAUCUGCUACAAUGCUCCCUCUGAUGGACUUCUGAGUGACAUAAUGGAUGUCAAACUCAGUCAGAAGCACCAACCAUCUCAUGAGGCGACCAACCAAAGCGGGUCUAUCAAACAAAUAUCUCAGAGGAUCCAAGCGAGAUAUCAAAUGCACGGAAUACUCGGUCAUGUAAUGUCUCAACCGACGAGUGGCCCAAACCAAUGCCAAACAAUAACGCUCAAUCAUGACAUACCUCGUCUCGUAGUCUAACAUCCUCUUACUCAAAUAGUAAAUGGCCCGAUCCUUGCCCGAAUCAUCGAGCUGAGCUAACAUGCAACCCAAGGCCACGUCUGAUACGGACAAGUAUAAGAGUAGAGGACGACCUGGUGUAGGAGGCGCCAAAACAGGAGGUGACAACAAGUACUCUCUGAUCCUCUCGAAGGCACGCUGGCACUGGUCAUCCCAAACAGUAGGUUGACUCUUCCUCAAGAGUCGAAAUAUGGGCUCGCAGAUGUCUGUCAAUCUGGCUAUGAAUCUACUGAUGUACUGAAGUCUGCCCAGGAAGCCUCUGACCUCUCUCUCUGUCCUCGGCACAGGCAUGUCAAGAAUGGCUCUAAUCUUGUCUGGAUCUACCUCUAUGCCUCGCUCACUGACCAUGUAUCCUAAGAGUUUCCCAGAAGUCACUCCGAAAGUGCACUUCUUGGGAUUCAGUCUCAAUCUGAACUGUCUGAUCCUCUCAAAGAACCUCUCAAGAGCUGCCAAAUGAUCUGAUCUAUCUCGGGAUUUCACUAUCAUGUCGUCUACGUAAACCUCGACAUCCCGAUGCAUCAUGUCAUGGAAGAGUGUGGUCGCUGCUCUCUGAUAUGUGGCUCCUGCGUUCUUCAAUCCGAAUGACAUGACUCUAUAGCAAUAAGUGCCCCACUCGGUAAUAAAGGACGUCUUCUCCAUGUCCUCUGGAGCCAUCAAGAUCUGACUGUACCCGGAAAAUUCGUCCAUAAAGGACAACAUCGAAUGACCUGCCGUACUGUCAACCAGCAUGUCGAUGUGUGGAAGAGGAAAAUCAUCCUUAGGACUGGCCUUGUUGAGAUCUCGAAAAUCAACACAGACUCUCACCUUGCCGUCCUUCUUGGGAACAGGGACGACAUUGGCCAGCCACUCCGGGUACUCAACCACUGAUAAGAAUCCUACACUGAGCUGCUUCUGGAUCUCCUCUUUCACCUGCAAACUCCAACGAGGGUGCAAUCGUCUCAACUUCUGCUUAACCGGUCUGGCCUGGGGCAGAAGUGGCAAACGAUGCUGGACGAUAGAUGGAUCAAGGCCUGGCAUGUCCUCAUAGGACCAUGCGAAAACGUCCAAGUAGGAUCUGAGUAGCUGGAUGAGGCUAUCUCUCUCAUCUGUAGACAAAUCCGAUCCGAUCCUCAACUCCCUAGGCUGAUUUGCCGUGCCAAAGUCAAUAAUCUCGGUGUCCCCUACAGCAGGUGAAACUCUCUGAUCAACGGGGUCUGAAUCGGAAGCAGAAGACGAGUCAUCGUCUGAGUCGUGCUGCGCAAUCUCAUCAUCAAUGUCAAAAAUCUGUGAUGUGGGUAAAGAUGGUGCAGAUAAAUCAAUAACAUGAGAGACAGACAAAUACUCAAAGGUGCUCAAAUCCAUAGAUGAAAAGUCAGAAACAUAGUCAUGACGGGAGACAAAUCCCGAUAAAACAUCAAAGGUGAGAGGUGGGUCCACAAGGUCGGACGCUCCCUCAACUAGGCCAACAGGGCCAUCAAACAAAUCAACAGCAACUAUAACAUCCUCGACGACCUCUGGAGUGGGGGCAACCUGGAUCUCCUCGGCGAUCUCGAGGACGGACACCCCAAAGAGAUCAAAAGGUGAAGCGAGCUCUGGCGGGGCCAUCUCCUCGGUCUGGCUCAAGCUCAUCGCGAGCAUCUCAUCAACGUACUCGUCAUGCGGCACGGCUCCAUCCACUACGUCUCCAAUCUCGACAAAAGUCCCGUGAUCAUCGAUCUCAUCCGGGAAGCAAAGCGUCAUAAGGUUCGUGCGAUCUGGGGAGGGAGGAGCAAUCAACUCAGAAACCGAAGGGCCAGGGGCUCCGUCACUCAACUAUAACUGCUGGACGAGGCGCUGAAGCUCGACCUCCUGAGUGGUGCUGAGUCCUCCGAUGAUCCCAUCAGAUGGUGCAUGUGGCUCUGAUGCCCUCACAAAGUAAUCGACUAGGCUCGUGGUGUAUGGGCGGACAGGAUAAUAAAAGGGCAUAUGAGUCAAGCGAGCCCUCACCCUCUCCUUGCGCAGCCGCGCCAUAUGACAAUAGUCGGCCUCAGUGGGAAUGAAUCCGAGCCCGAAUGGUACAUCGCGGUCCGGAAAGGUCAUGAACUCACUAGGCCCGUGCUGAUGCCGUCCCAAACCCAUACCAGGAAGAUAAGACAUGCUCCUCAUAAUAUCGAGUACCACCGUGCUGCUGUGCUGGUCGAAGGACAGGGCUACAAAGUCUCGACAGAAGUCCUCCAUCUCCAGAGUCUGCACCUCAUCAAAGGUGAAUCCGGUCAGAAAAAGAUCAUCAUCAGCAUGACUGAUCUCAAGUACGGGCUCGGCCGAAAUGAACAUAUCCCCUACAGACUGUACCACGACGACCCGGCCAUCAUGGAUGAACUUCACUUUCUGAUGAAGUGAAGAAGGAAUGGCUCCAGCUCGGUGAAUCCACGGUCGGCCCAAAAGCAGGUUAAAGGAUGUAGGAAUCCUCAAAACCUGAAACACGGCGACAAAAGUGGCUGGACCAAUCAGUAGCUCAAUCUCUAGUGUACCCAUGACCUCCCUCCGAGUGCUAUCAUAAGCUCGAACGGUCUGAGUGGAUGGACCGAAGUCGGAUGGUGCGUACCCAAGAGCGAUGGCGGUGGCCAGAGGACAUACGUUCAGGGCCGAGCCAUUGUCCAGAAUGACAGAUGGAACUCGGCGACCUGAACAGCCAACAGAUAUAUAGAGAGGACGCGUGUGGCCAGAACCCUCUGGUGGCAAGUCGUCAUCGGAAAAGACGAUACAAGUGGCUCUGCCAGCCGUCAUCAUAUGAAUGAGUCCCUCAGGAGUGGUCGUGGUAUCAACUCUGAUCUGGCUCAGAGCUCGAGUCAGUGCAUCCCGAUGAGUACUGGAGGACGCUAAAAGGCUCCAGAUAGAAAUACGAGCCUGAGUGCUCUGCAACUGCCUCAAAAUCUCGUCAUCCUCUGCUCUGACCUCCUCCUGGGAUGACGUACCCCCUAAGGGUCUAGCGGCAGCGGCUGAAGGUGGUUGUCUCAUCACUCUACCUCCUCGGAGAACAUACUGAAUGUCCAGAAUCUGAGAAUCAUCAACGUACGGAGCCUGAACCCCCGCAACAUCCGGGAUCAAGAUGAAAGGCGUCCGGACACUGUAAUGCGGCAAAAUCAAUGGCUCAACGGUGGCAGCCUGCACGGACGCUGCCUCGGGAACUAAUCGGAAUGGAGCAGGCAUCCGAGGACUCAGAGUCACUCCACUCGUCUCAUAAAUCACAUCUGGCAUGAUAGGCUCUGGGUCUGAAUCAUCAUCACUCAGCAUGUGGAUGUGGUCAUCGAUCACAUCAAACUCUAAGAAAUGAAUGCCAUCGGCUGGUGAAGAGACUGCAUGUGUGGUGUGAGCAGGUAACGGGUUCGUGGUCACACUCGGCUGACCCAAGUGUACCAAACCUUGGUCGAUCAAAUCCUGAAUGGCGUGCCUCAAAGCAGUGCAUCGAUCGGUCUCAUGUCCAGGCCCCUGAUGGUAUGCACAGUGUAGAUCCAUCCUGAACUGAGGUGGAAUCGGCUGAGGCGGUGGCCGAGGGGUGAGAGUAGUCAAUAACCCAGCCUCUGUAAGCUUCCGAAGAGCCUGGCUCAACGGCAUGCCUAUCUGUGAAAACUGUCUCUGCGUCCUCAAAGCAAAAGGUGCAGAGGUCUGCUGAGCUCGAGGCCUAGGGUAUGAAGGUGCGGGCCUCGGAGUGAACUGUGUAGCGUAACAUGGCUGUCCAGUGGCCGUGUAUGAAACAGGAGGGCCUCUCAAUGCCCUGAGUGGCAUAGUAAGGUAGAGCCAAUGGCUGAGCCUGAUAUGUCUGAUCAAAAGCCGGGCAAGGUGCCCGUGGCCUGAACUGCUGAGGUGUGUAAGAUGGAUGAGUCUCUAGGACCUGUGGGACCGACUGAUGACGCCUAGGAGGCCUCUGACUGGAAAAACCGAUAGCGCUCACAUCUACUGGCCUCGGUCCUACGAAGGGCUUCUUCCUCUUAAUAUCACUAGGGGAAGAAUCUGUCCAUAAUCCUCUCGAGAUGCCAUCCUCGACGUCAUACAAAGCCAUAACCAGAGACCCAAAAUCUGUGAACGGGGCCCCUACCACAUGUCUGGCGAUCCGCGGCUAUAGGCUCCUCAAAACCAUCUGAAUCUGGUCCCUCUCUGAUGGUCUAUCGAUAAUCUCAGCUAUCUUCCCUCGCCAGCGGGAAAUGAAAGAAGAAACAGACUCCUCCGCCCUCUGUCUCAAAGCCUCGAGCUCCCUCCUCGAUACAUCUACGACAGUGUUAAACGAAAACUGUCGUAGGAACUCCUGGGCCAAGUCGUCCCAUGUGCGGCGCCUCGAGGCCUCCAGAGAUGCAAACCAACGCUGGGCCGCCCCACUCAAAGAUAGUGGGAAAAGAGUAAUCAUCUGGGGCUCGUCCAGUCCAUGAGCCCUCAUCACGGUGCUGUAUAAUCGGAGAUGGAGGCGUGGACAACCAAUGCUAGUAUACCUCUCAAUGUCAGGCAUCCUGAACUUAGCCGGCAAGCUGGCUACCGGCACUCCAUCAAAACCCUCCCAAGUAAUGGCUCUAUCGGAAGUCCUCAACUGCCUCAACCCCUGCUCAAGCCUAUCCAUACGAGCAUGUGGGUCCUCUGAGGUCGGGGUAGGCACGGUGACGGGAGGCGGAGCAACCUCGGUCUGGCUAUGUAGGGUGAACGGCAUGGCCUGUGGUGCUGAUUGACUGGGUGGAGGGGGUGGUGGCACUGUAUGGUCAUACUGGGCACCAUCCAGGGGCGGGACCUGCUGGGCCUGCUGCCCAUCUAUCCUCCGGCCAAGGCUAGCUAUAGCCUCCUAAAUUGAAGCCAUGGCCUCAGCGAACUGAUCGACGGUAACUAUCUGUGAAUCCAUAUCCCUCUGAUCUGAUCUCUGGUCUAACUGGUCCGAUACCUUGAUCAAUCUACCCCCAACUCUGAUCCAAGAAGUCGAACCCAGACUGAACGUAUCGGUACUCCUGAAAUAGUGGAAAUACUAGAUAAGGUGCGGGGUAAAGGAAACUUCACAAAGGAUGUCUAUCAAAUGCGUCAAAAGGUAGCCUGGAAGCAAACAAACUAAUAUCCAAUCUUGAGCAGAUAUAUAAGAGACUACUGCGAAGGUAACCAAACCUGUUACUACUGAACCGGCUCUGAAGGCCCACAGAUGCACCCACGUGUAGGGAGGGAGUCCUAAUCGGAGGAUCUACGGCUCAACCUACAAGGUGAAGGGUGGCUCUAAAUGGAUAUGGGUGGACUUUAAAAGAUCCCUAGCAGAAGCGAUCGUACCCUCCGGCGGUACGCAACCAUCUGCACGCCUCAAAAAGAGACGGGGUGCUUCCAUGCAAGGUGGUCAUUACCUCCACACAUGCACUACCUCGACAUCCCAGGGGGUUUCCUAUGGUGAAACCUCUCAAACUCUCAACGCUUUAUGGUCAACUAAAGUGCACAGUGAAUGGUGUGGGUGCAUCCGAAAACCCUAAGAAUCUAGAGCAAAAGAGGAAACACACUGGUCGCACGACUAUCCAUGAAACCUAGCUCGGGGCUAUACAGGUCUUCAAUGAUCGGACUCCAAUUGACAUCAAAGUGUCGCUCUCCUCCAGAAUGCUCCCGUGCAUCGAUAUAGCCCGUCGCUAGACCCUACUCCUAAUCUCUGGCUCGGUCAGAGAGCAAGCACACAGAAGGUCUCACACUUGCAAUAGUGAGAACCGAGAUGAAAGGAAUGACCGAGACCAAGAGAUUUGGAAGUAAGGGGAUAGAAGUGAGACCCACAUAGACAAGCGACAUGCAAUCAUGUAGAGGGAGGGCAGUCAUGCAUCAUACAGUCAGGCAGAGCAGAAUAUAUCACUCAUGUCCGCGCAAAAAAGCUAUGACUAUCAGGACGAAUAACGAUACAAACAUCAUGCUCAAAAGACGAUCAAGACAAUAUGCAAGCCAGAGGAAACAAUACAGCCAGUCAAACGACGUAUAAUAGUGAGUCUAUGCAUGUGAAGUGAGCAGAAUAAUCAGGAAGAGACAGAAUCACUAUACCAAGCAAAUAAGAUGAGCAAUCUAUGAUAAUCGGCAUGUCAAUGUACCAAACUAAUCUAGCAAUGAAGUAUAGAAAAAGCGACAUCCGAAGCCCCAAUCAAGAUAAUCAAUCAUAUCAAUGUCAUAACGCAAUAUCCAAGCAUGCAUCAAAAACUCCCAAUGUGCAAUCAAGAGACAGGUACUCACUGAUCGACUCAUCAAAUGUCAUGUUUGCUUCAUCUUAAGUUCAAGCUUGACCCUCUAAACAUCCCCAGUGGAGUCGCCAUUUUGUGGACCCCGCAUUUCGUGCUCAUGCGUUUCCCACUCGAAUGGCGAGCUCGAUUUUAAUUUGAAAAAUUGAUUUUUAUUUGAUUAAGAAAAUGACUUGGAGUCGCCACUUAUUUUUGUUUUAUUUUUAAAAGGGUAAACAAAAUAAGAAAGAAAAACCCUAAGUGUGACUCCUUAUUUUGGAAAAGGCGGUCUACGAAAAACCGGAUCAGGUUCGGGGGUCAGGUUACUUAUCGGGAAGGUAUGGUAAAGACCGUAGCACCCCUCUAAGUCCCUAAAGUCGGGUCUCUACUAAUAAAAUGAAGUUGACAUAGCAAUCAAUAAGAAAAUCAACGGAUACUCAAAUCGACCAUGCACACAUGGGAAUCAAAACAUGCAUAGAGAAUGACCGGAAUGGGGAGGGAUGCGUACCUGGGCCACGAACGAGCAAUGCGCUAUCAUAAAAAUAGAAUCAGUGUAUAAUAAAGAGCACAAAACAUAUCACAUGCGUCACCAAAUAGAAAUUAAAAACUGUUUGAGGGAAAACUGAAUUUUUGAAAUUUAUUUGAAAAUUGGAGUCUUAGAGAUUAUUUGAAAAUUGGAUUUUUAGAAAUUAAUAUAAGAAUGAGAAUUUUAGAAAUUAAAUUUGAAAGGAAUCGGAAUUUAAGAGAACUAAAUUUGGAGAUCGAAAUUUUGAAGAAUUAUUUGAAGGCGGAAUUUUAAGUAAAUGAAUAAGUGAAUGAAAUAAUAAUAAUGAUGAAGUAAUAAUGAUUGGGUAACUAAUUGCAGAAGUUAGGAUCUUGGGAAUCGAAAACCGAACUUAGGGAUUGGAGAUUUAAAGAUUUAUUUAGGAAUGAAAUUUUAAAUAAAUGAACAAGUGAAUAAAUGAAUGAAACAAUAAUAAUAACAAAAAUAAUCAUUAAACAAAUAAAUGCGAACAGUUGAAUUUUUUUAUAUUGGAAAUUAGACUUGGAAGUCAGAUUUUUGAAGAGUUGAACUUUAAUGAUUGGAAUUUUUAAAAGAAAUGAAUAAAUAAAUAAAUGGAAUUACAAUAAUAAUGACCAAAAAUAAUAUUUAAACAAACGAAAGUGAAUAGUAGAAUUUUUUAGAUUUGAAAAUUNNNNNNNNNNNNNNNNNNNNNNNNNNNNNNNNNNNNNNNNNNNNNNNNNNNNNNNNNNNNNNNNNNNNNNNNNNNNNNNNNNNNNNNNNNNNNNNNNNNNGGUUUUCUCAACUUAAGCAAGAGCAUCUCUGAGCACUCCAAUGUAACCCAUAUGGCUUUCAAACAUCCAUAAAUUUCUUACAGUACGAAAAAAAAAAAAAGGAUCUUAUGGUGCUCUCCCGGAAACACCUCAACCAAGAUGGCCAACUUCAAACGUGACACCCAACACUCCAAAAAUACCCAAAACAGAGGAGAACGGGAAGAAAAAAAACAGAGCAUGUUUAAGCAAAAAUAAUACCAAUAAACCUAGCUCUAUUUCAUAAAGGUUAACGGGCUAUAUAUAGGUGGAAUCAAAAGGGAACACGAGCAAUGAUUUUUGAUACAUCAGGUUAAGAGAAGGAGCAAAGCAUCAGAUGUUCACAAGAGAAGACAAAAACUCCAAAAUAAAACCAAAACAGAGCAUGCAUAUAAAGAGUAGAUCCAACAAAACAAACGAGUGGCCCUUGAUGUCCACACCAAUCAACAAAUCAAUGCCCCGAAAAAGACUACUAAAAAUGAGAAUCAAUGAGAAGAUAAUAAACUAUAGAAGUCGUACCUGGAAAGCUUCCUCUCAAGCGAAAGCUCUCCUGACUUCAAGCUCUGUUUCACGCUCUCUCCGGAAAAAUCCUCUGCCCAACAUCUCUUUCCUCCUCCCUUUCCCUGCAAGAUCCCGUGUCUUCUUUAGCAAGUCUCAACUUGCUCUCUCCCCUCACCAGUCAACCAGCCUGGCCAAAAACCCCUCCGGAAAGUCAGCACCUGUUGUGCUAUUCACCACCUCAGCAUCUGUGGAGUCCCAACCACCACCAUGGCUCCAGUCACCUGCCUCGCCACGUGCUCCAUGCAGCUGCUCCUCCAAGAAACCCGAUCUCUCCUUCAAACGCCUUUCUCCACGUGUUUCCCAAGUGGCGGGCAGGCUAACCAUGAAUACAUAUAUGUAUAUAGAUAUAUAAAAAACCAAAGCCAAAAAGAGGGGGUCUACAGUUUGUUUGACAACAAUUUCCAAAAACAACUUUCCAUUAACUAAAAUAAAAAAUAUUUAUUUGAUAAAAAAAUAAACAUUUUUUUGUUUUUCUAUUGUUAAAAGUCGAAAACAUGAUGUUUUCGAUUAAAGUCAUAGGACUCUCCAUGGGGACCUCAACCAUUAACUAAAAUAAAAAAUAUAUAUUUGAUAAAAAAAAAUAAACAUUUUUUUGUUUUUCUAUUGUUAAAAGUCGAAAACAUGAUGUUUUCGAUUAAAGUCAUAGGACUCUCCAUGGGGACCUCAACCUAUAGGUGUUGAGCAACAAACUCAAACCUCAGAUGUGUUGACCCAACAAAUUGAAACCUCAGAGUGUUGAUCACUCCACAACAACCCAUCACUAACUUUUGUUUUACAAAAUAUUAAAAAACAAUUUUUAAAAACUGGUCUUAAAAACUAUUUUUUAAAAUUAUGUUUAAAAUAGUUAUCAAAUGGACUAUAAUAUUAAUUUUUUGAAAAAUGGCGAAUGAGGUGAAUUGAUUAUUGAAAUCACUUCUAAUGAAUAAAUAAAAUAUGAACCUAUUUUUUUUUUCUUUUAAUGAAAGCCUCAAAUAACCUUCAUAUAUGUAAGCAAUCAAUUAGAAAUAAAAAUAUAAAGUAACCAUAUAUAUAUAUAAUGUUAGUUGGCUAUUUAUUGAGUGAAAACAACACCAUGGUUGUCUAUGAUGUGAUGUUUGAUAUGGAUGAUUUUUUUAAUUUUUAUUUCAUAAUCAUUAGGGUUUGGAAUAUGUGGUGGCUAACUAUUUCAUAAAACAAGAAAAUAAAUGUGUCUAAAAAAGUUUGGUUAUGUCUAAAUCAUAUGAUAUUUUCUUUGAUGUAGUUUGUCAUUAUUGAUUCAAUUGAUGUAGACCCAUGAUUUUUAUAGCUUAUGAAAUUGAUUAAAGAAAAUAUCUUCAUGAUUGGAUAUUAUGUUAUAAAUUUGAAUUUAUGAAGAAGUGACUCAUAAAAUUAAUUAAUGGAAAAUAAUAUUUUAAAAAAAAUUAAAUUUGAUUUUCUAUUUUUCAAGGGCAAUUGUCUCUUUAGUAAUCAUUUAUAGAAAGAAAUUUGGAAAAACAAAUAAAUGGGGAUUGUGUGAUUUAAAUCCUAUUAAAAUGGAAAGAAGAUGAGAAGAAGGUAAAAAAAGACGAUAAGAAAUAUAAGAUUUGUUUGAGAAUAUUUUUUUUAAGAAGUUUAAGAUAUUUUUUAAAACUGAAAUCUUUUGAAAUUUGAAAUGUUUUUAACUUGUUUUCUGUAUUUUAAGAUAUUUUUAUAUAAAUAAAUUAUAUAUAUAUAUAUAUAUAUAUAUAUAUAUAUAUAUAUAUAUAUAGUAUCAUUUUUAAUUAUUUUUUAAGAUAAAAUCAUAAAAAUCAACUUAAAAAUUUUUUUUAAACGGUCUAAAAUAGAAAUUUUUUGAAAGCUUAAAUGUUUUUAACUUAUUUUUUCAUAUUUUUAAAUAUUUUUUUUAUAAAUAACUUUUAUCUAUAUAAUAUUAUUUUCAAUUAUAUUUCAUGUUUACACAAUUAUAUUUUAAGAUAAAGUCAUAAAAAUCAACUAAAAUAGUUAAAAUAUGUUAUAAAAAAAUAUUAUAUUCCAUAAUAAUUCUUAAAAACGGUUUUGGAAAUAAUUUACAAUUAAACGUAAAAUUGUAAAUGAACAAAGAUGGGUACAAAUAGUAUUCAUUGGUAAUAAAUAAUGACAAAAUGUACUUAAUUUUACAUAAGAAUAAGACCCUAUUAGUUUAACAAAUAUAAAAAAGAGUGAAGAAAAAAAGGUAUCCCACUAUUUACUUAUUAUUCUUUUUUUAAAAAAGAUUCGAUUAAAAAAUGCUCUUAAUUUUAUACAAGAAGACAACACAUUCAAAGAUACCGCAAAACCUUCUUAAUUCUAAAUAAAUUUACAUUUUAUAUAAUUUCAUGAUGAUAAUGUUUGAUUUUUUCGAAGGCUACUAAAAUUUGAGAUAUUUUGUUUAAAAUUUAAAGUCUAAAUAUUAUUUUUAUUCAAAUUUGAAAGAGACUUGUAUCUAUUAAGAUUAUUACUAAAUUUGUUAAUAAAAAUACAAAAAAAUAAAUGUAAAUCAAGAUACAAAUAAAUGAGACUAAUUUUAUCUCCUAAUAAUCUUUUAACAUCCAAAAUAAUCAAGGUUUUAUCGUAAAUGAUUUUAAAAUCAUUAUUUUCAAUUCAUAUUUUAAAAAUUAUUGAUUUCAAAAAUAAAAUUUUGUUUCAACGUAAAAUAUUUUAAAAAAAUAUUGUUUUCAAAAUAAAUUCUUUAAAAAACACUUUAUGAUUAAAAAUCACCCACACAUGUUUUUUAAAAUAGAAAAUUAUUUUAUGUUUUUUUAAAGUAUAGUUUCUAAUCGGGUCCAAAUAAUUUUUUAAAAUUAAGCAUUUUCUAAGAAAAGAAAAAAAAAAAAAGGAAAAAGGGCAAGAUGGGAAGAAAAGGGGAGAGAGAAUAGGGUAGUUGAAAAGAGUGAAGGGGUAAAAGUGGAAAAAAGGAAAAGAAUGAAAACAGAAGCACUGAACUGACUGCCGACCUAAUGGGCUCAUAUUCCAAGAAACCACUGUUCAUGGACACAUCAAAAGCUAGAGAGAGAAAGAAGAGAGAGAGGGAGACGGAGCCAAUAGUAAAAAAGCAACAGUAUAUAGAAUAGUCGCUGUGCAGAGAUGUAGGGUUUUUUCCCAUUUGUUUUCAAAUAACAUCAGCGCACCCAAGCGGUGGAUUUGUAGAGAGAGAAAGGGGGAGAAAAGCAAGGGAAAGCUACCAAAACCACCAUCACAAAAACCUAGUCCUAGGGUGUCCUAUAAAGAGAGAAAAAGCGAGAAUUCAUUUAUAUAUAUAUGCGUAAGAUACAGUGAGAGAAGGAUUGGGUGCAGAGGUGAAAGAGAGAGAAAGAGAGAGGGGCAAAGGAAAGCGGUGGAGAGAGCAAAAACCCGGUUGGGAAAAAGGGUUUUUAGAGAGAGGGAACCAGGCAGGAAAAGGGAUUUUAGGAAGAGGAGGGAGCCCGGGUUGAGAAGAGGGAUUUUAGUGAGCGACGAGGAGGGGGCCCAGAUAGAAAAAAAGGGUUUUUGGAGAGAGAAGGAGGCGACCCAGAUUGAAAUUCAGGGGCUUUGGAGAGAAAAAGAGGGUUGCUGAGGUGAAAGGGA